rnacentral:rRNA from 1 species
AGCAGCCGCCACGGUAAUACGUAGGUGGCAAGCGUUGUCCGGAAUUAUUGGGCGUAAAGCGCGCGCAGGCGGAUAGGUCAGUCUGUCUUAAAAGCUCGGGGCUUAACCCCGUGAUGGGAUGGAAACUGCCAAUCUAGAGUAUCGGAGAGGAAAGUGGAAUUCCUAGUGUAGCGGUGAAAUGCGUAGAUAUUAGGAAGAACACCAGUGGCGGAGGCGACUUUCUGGACGAAAACUGACGCUGAGGCGCGAAAGCCAGGGGAGCGAACGGGAUUAGAUACCCCCGUAGUCCCUGUCUCUUAUACA